GUCCGACGGAUGAGUUCGAACCCUCGCGGGCAGAGCCCAAUGGAUUAGCAGUCCAUCGCCUUAACCACUCGGCCUUAUUGGC
rnacentral:tRNA from 1 species